UACAUGUGGGGCAAGCGUUGUUCGGAAUUACUCGGCAUAAAGGGUGCGUAGGCGGUUUGUUAAGUCACUGGUGAAAGUUUUCGGCCCAACCGGAAAAUUGCCUGUGAUACUGGCGAACUUGAGUGCGUGAGGGGUGGGGGGAACGAGCAGUGUAGCGGUGAAAUGCGUAGAUAUUGCUCGGAAGGCCGGAGCCGAAGGGGCCCCACUGGUACGUAACUGACGCUGAGGCACGAAAGCGUGGGGAGCAAACAGG
rnacentral:rRNA from 1 species